rnacentral:rRNA from 1 species
AAAAGCUUUCUUUAAUUGAAUAAUUGAAUUUAAUUUUUUAGUGCAAAAGCAAAAAUAAAAAUUAGGGACAAGAAGACCCUAUGAAUUUUUUAUUAAAUUUUAUAAAACUUUAUAUAAAAUUUAAUUUAAUUGGGGUGAUGGAAAAAGAAUAAAUAUCUUUUUUUUUAAAAAAAAAUUGGUUCCGUUUUUAGCGAUUAAAUGAAAAAAAUACUCUAGGGAUAACAGCGUAAUAAUUUUGGAUAGUUCAUAUAGAUAAAAUAGUUUGCGACCUCGAUGUUGGAUUAGGAUUCUUUUUUGGUGAAGAAGUUAAAAAAAGAAGUUUGUUCAACUUAUAAUUUCCUACUUGAUCUGAGUUCAGACCGG